GCUCCAGAUUUCCUCUUGCACCCGUUCAGGUUACUCCUCCGUUACAGUGGAUCUCAUGCGUUAAGUGUGUUUUACUAAAUUGAGAAGUCAUCUAUUAAACCAACCUGAAAACCACAAAGUACUGAUUUAUUGACUUGCUUGUAUAUGAUGUUGCGUGUUAUUAACUGUAAUAACCCAGAUAUAUAAAAAAAAAAAGAAGAAAGAAACGAAGAAGACUCUUGUUGGGAGUCUUCUUCCACCUGAGUCACCGGAGGAGAAGUUGGAAUCCGAGGGGGAUUCGACCUCUCCUCCACUCUAUAAGACCCCCUCUCCCCCUCCUAAACAACCCAUAGUGAUUACCGAUUUCUCUCUUUCCUUUCUCUUUGUUUUCUCCAGUUGAAGUCAAGGCCUCCCGUACUUGUGCUCGUCGGAAAUUGGAGCUGACGACAUUGUCGG
rnacentral:lncRNA from 1 species